AAAAUCUUCAAAUUUCAUUUUUUUUAAUUCCUUCGUUCAUUUACUAGCCAGAGGUAUAAACUACAAGAAACUUUUUGAUUUCAAAUGAGACUGGACUUAGUUAUGCUGCCCACCGCAAAAAAACUUAAACUCUACAAAAAUGAAUAUUUUUGGCUGAAACUUUUUUUGAGACUACCUUAAGUACUAUACUUUUACAUGUUCCAAUUAUAAAUAAAAAUAAAUUUUAGUUUUCGAGAUAUAAUUUUUUUAAAAAGUCACUUUUUUUACCCAUAAGACCUAUGUAACCCCUUAAAAAAAUGUUUGAUGGCCAAGAUGCAUACAUAUAUUUAGAAGGAAAGUUCCUAAUUUCUGUAGUAUAAUACAUAAUACCGAAGAGGAAGUAGCUCUAAGCGCCGGACUCCACUUGCGAUUUGUAGUCGUGAAGAUUGAACACAUUCUUUCAAAUAGAAGUCAAUCCAUGAUUAUUUAGUUACAAAUGGCCCAGAUAGCAUGUAAACUUGUAGCAAGUUUGAUUCUUCUUUGAUUUUUCAUUGCUGCGUAAAAUAUGACGAGGCAAGUUUGUGAUAAGUUUGCUGCAAUAUUGUUAUGACAAAGAUGAUUAUUCAAGUUUGUAGCAACUUUGCUUCAAGCUUAGCUUUGCACAGCCCGCUUCGAUUCGGUUUUCGUUCGGCGCCCCGACUGAUGUCCCGCCCACGACAACGAAAGUGUUGCCACCCGUAGGGAAAUUUCUGUGUUUGCGAGAAUUUUCAACAUACAAUUGAAAAAGUUAUCUCAAAAGGGAAUUUUUCCUCCAGUCCAAAUUGCACAAUAUUUAAAAAAAUCAAAAGAUUUGAAAAUAAUUCAAGAUAUUUUCGCAGAUUUUGUAAAUAGGAACGAAUUUUUUCAUAAAAGUGAGAAUUUUUAAGGUAAGUUGAGGGAAAAAGCUUACUCGAUGGCUGGCAACACGGGAAAAAAAUCUGCUACGCGUAUGCGGUGACAGUUUGUUGUUGUGGUUAUCCAGUUUUUUACAACUUAAAUUUUCCGUACAAUUCUCCGAGGCUAUUACCUUAAUUAUUAUUACUAAGCUGAAGCCUAUUUUCUUCAUUGUUAAUAGACCAAACUGCAUGCUUACUGCAUUACAGAUUAGUACCUACUCAUUUUGCUCUGGCCAACUCUGGUGGCAUUGAGGUAGAGAGCUGAUAUAGACAAAACCAAGCAUCGGAAUCUGAAGCUAGGGUGUUUAAUGUAAGUUCCAAUGAAUAAUUUUAUACAAUAGAUUGUAUUUUAGUCGAGUGAUUAAUAAAUAGUUAUAUAAAAUGGUA